GGCCUCAAUUCCUCACAGGGCAACCUGAGUGCAGGACACCUGGCCUCAUCUCCAGUGGAAACACAAAUGCUCCCCCCGAAGGUGCUGUUGUGCUUGUCCCACCUUCUCCCUCCAGCCAGAAACGCCUACAUUCCUGUCCCUUGUGCACGUGCAGCCACAGCAAACAAACAGGCCCUGCACUGACCUGUUCCCUGCUUGGAGUCUGGUUCCUACAAGACCCAGCCCUUUGCCUUAUAGCCAUGGGGGCAAUGCUUCAUCUUCAGGCAGCCAGGGGCCGGAAGGAGCCUGGAUCCUCCGCUGGCCCCCUCCCUCUCCUUCAGCGGCAGUGACCCUUUCCCCAGCGUCUGCUGCCCUCUUGGGACGGCGUGCCCAGGUCUCAGAAUGCACCACGCAGAAACGAGGCCCCACUCCUGACAUCUGUUGACGCUGCUCCUGUUUUAUUUCUAAGCUUGGCUCCGUCCCUUGAGUUGAGCUGAGAGUUUCGCAGAGAAGAAAUUGUCAAAUAAAAAACAAAUCCGGAUUUAGUAAGGACAGCUUUAUUCCAAAAGGAUUAGUGCAGGGCUUGCGGAGGGGUGAGGGGGCGUCUCACAGUAGGGGUACAUUCCUCUCCAACUUACAGGCCUGCAAGGCCUCCAGAGUCAGGAAAAGGGGUUUUCUUUGAUGGAGAGAGGGAACAGGGCUGGAAAGAAUCGGUGGGGGAGUGGCGUGAGGGGGCCUGAGGGGCAGCAGAUACAGCAGGUCCCCCCUGGCCAGCCCAGUCUCAGGGGCUAAGGUGGGAGUUACAGGCUGACCCAGGGGGAGCUAGGCUGAGGGGUCUCCAGGUUCAGGGUUUGGAGGAGGCAGAGAAGCUGAACAAGCUCUUUUUGUUAUUUCUCUAAACAAGUAUUUUGUUCUGCUGGAUCUGUGGGGACAAAACAGCUCAGGGAAUCGCGGAUGAGGCCAUCAUCUGGCCUUCCUGGGCGGACCCAGCGUCCCCGAGUCUCAGCUCAGUCCUGUGGGAAGGGGGAUGUUUGCAGUGAGCUGUUUCCGGAACAUACGGGAGAGCUUUCCAGGACUCGUGGAGUUCCACGCUGUGGAGAUGAAGAUGGGUUCCUAGCACCUGCAGGUUACAGGCCCUUCCUGCCCUGUCCUGAAACCACCUUUGCAAAACUAUGACAGAAGAGAAAUUUGACAUGGCUGCCUCCAUCCUGCUCCUCACCUC
rnacentral:lncRNA from 1 species